rnacentral:rRNA from 1 species
GACGAACGCUGGCGGCGUGCUUAACACAUGCAAGUCGAACGGAAAGGCCUGCUUUCCCUUGUGGAUUGCGGGUACUCGAGUGGCGAACGGGUGAGUAACACGUGAGUGAUCUGCCCCCAACUUGGGUAUAAGCCUGGGAAACUGGGUCUAAUUCCCGAUAGGACUGCAGGGUGGUGCCUGUGGUGGAAAACGAUUUUCUAGUGGUUGGGGAUGAGCUCGCGGCCUAUCAGCUUGUUGGUGGGGUAAUGGCCUACCAAGGCGGCGACGGGUAGCCGGCCUGGGGGGGUGGACGGCCACAUUGGGACUGAGAUACGGCCCAGACUCCUACGGGAGGCAGCAGUGGGGAAUAUUACACAAUGGGCGGAAGCCUGAUGCAGCGACGCCGCGUGGGGGAUGACGGCCUUCGGGUUGUAAACUCCUUUCGACCGCGAGGAAGCCACCUGGUUGGAAGGGUGGUGACGGUAGUGGUAGAAGAAGCACCGGCUAACUACGUG